rnacentral:lncRNA from 1 species
UUUUCCUUCAUGGAGCAUCAUCCCUUACUCCAUCUCUUUGAAUCUCCUAUUUGGCUCACAUCCUUCCCUUAAGAGGAACAAGCUUGGUUGUCCAUCUAAAGUAAUGGACUUAAAAAAAGAUUAGAGUUUCACUUCACAAACUCUGCUAUUCACCAACACGGGACCUCAAACAAGGCACUUAUCUUCUCUUUUCUACCAGGGAAAUGCUAACAUUCUUUGUUUCUUAUAUCACAAAUACACAAACUUAGUAAGUCUGGUGGUGGGACACCCUGCAUCCUGAGCACAGGUGAAAGUCUACGGUGUCUCUAAAACAGUAGAAGCGAGGGUUACCUACAAGACAGUCCUGUUUUGAGCCUUAAUAAAAAUGCCUUGAAUGAAAUGGCGACCCCCAUGUGGUGUUGGGUUCUUUCUUUUUUCCAAUGCUUAGGGAAAAAUUACAAUGUAUGUAAAUGUUCAGUGAUGCUGAGAUUUUCUUGGCUAGAUAGCACCUGCCAAACAAAGCUUCCUCUUGGAUGUAAUGAGUUUUGGGCCCCCGAUCACCUAUUAGACUACAGGUAGGUGAAGGGAAGGGAGAUAGCCAAGAAGAGGAAUGACUACAUUAUUGUUUGUUGACUGAGUGUUAUCUCCCAGGCUAUUAACCAGUCCUCUAAUCUAGAUCUCAGGGGCUUGAGCUCAUCCCAUAGUGUUUGCGCUAAUGUUUUCUCUUGCUCCAUUAAAUGACAGUUCUAAAUGACAGGACCUCAUAUCUUCUCUACAAUAAGAUAGAUUACAAGCGUGGUUUUUUUUCAUAGUUUAAAAA